AACGCGAAAGUGGAGCAAUCCAUGAGUAGAGUGGCAAACGGGUGAGUAACGCGUGGGCGACCUACCUCAGAGUGGGGGAUAACCUUCCGAAAGGAGGGCUAAUACCGCAUGACAUACCGUGUUUGGAUACACGGAUAUCAAAGCCGGGGAUCGCAAGACCUGGCGCUUGGAGAGGGGCCCGCGUCCGAUUAGCUAGUUGGUGAGGUAACGGCUCACCAAGGCUCCGAUCGGUAUCCGGCCUGAGAGGGCGGACGGACACACUGGAACUGAGACACGGUCCAGACUCCUACGGGAGGCAGCAGUGGGGAAUUGUUCGCAAUGGGCGCAAGCCUGACGACGCAACGCCGCGUGGAGGAUGAAGACUUUCGGGUCGUAAACUCCUUUCGACCGAGAUGAAUUUCCCACGACCUAACACGUCGUGGGGGUGACAGUAUCGAGGGAAGAAGCCCCGGCUAACUCCGUGCCAGCAGCCGCGGUAAUACNGGGGGGGGCAAGCGUUGUUCGGAAUUACUGGGCGUAAAGGGUUGGUAGGUGGCUUGUUAAGUCAGACGUGAAAUCCCUCAGCUUAACUGGGGAACUGCGUCUGAUACUGGUGAGCUUGAGUGCAGGAGAGGAACGCGGAAUUCCAGGUGUAGCGGUGAAAUGCGUAGAUAUCUGGAGGAACACGGGUGGCGAAGGCGGCGUUCUGGACUGCAACUGACACUGAACAACGAAAGCCAGGGUAGCAAACGGGAUUAGAUACCCCGGUAGUCCUG
rnacentral:rRNA from 1 species